rnacentral:misc_RNA from 1 species
AAUUCCAUAAACAAAACCCUGAGCCUUACAGACUUCCAUCAUCUUCAACAUGUACUUCAAGAUCCCAUCUUGAGCCCUGGACAUCUUCUUCCUCCUAGCUUGCUCCUGAGACUGGCGUUGUUUGACAGCAUCAACACCUUCCUUGCCCUUGCUCAUUUCUUUCAGCCUUUUCAGCUUCAUCUUGUCCCUCCACACUCUCUUCUCUAGCUCAUCCACAUCAAUAUCCUCAUCACUAUAAUCAUCAUCCACCACCUGCUCUGCCUCAGUCUGUGGAGCAGCCACCUCCACUUCCUUAAGCGGCGCAGGAAAGAAAUCAAGAUCCCCACAGAACCCCAUUUCCUCAAACAUCAUCAUCUUCACAAGAACAAACUCCUCCAAAAAACUAAUCACCAAACGUCAAGAAAUCUAAACAGAACUAGCAGCUAACACCCAAUUUUUUCACAGAUUAUCCUGUCCUUUCUCAACACUCAUCAAUCCAAAUUACGCGAUAUUUAAUCCUGAAUUUAUGAUAUUUGAAAAAAGUUGAUUAAACUCUUUUUCUCUACUUAGGAGAAUAAUAAUUUGACCAUUUUUUAAGAGACUAUAUGGAAACAGAGAAGAAAGAUAAGUAAGAAAUAGAGAAGAAAGGGU